GUUUCAUGGUUGCCUCCCUUUAAAAAGUCAGAUUCAGGUUGCUGUUGUUUCACAUGCAGCUACAGGAGCGGGACAUGAGGACAGUCUGCUUUGCUGAUGCAGUGUACACUCACAUAGACUAGGAAGAGAUCAUUGGAAGGUUUCCACAUAUGUGGAUGAAGAAGCACUGCGGCAAUCAAAAACUGCGCUGAUUACUCACCCAUUUUGGCGUGGCAUGAUUGGAUGUGACAAAGUGUGAAGCUGAUAACUGUUGAAGAAGAAGAACAACACAGCGAAAGGCUGGAGAAACACAGCAUAACAGAGGGAGUUCCUGAAGACGAACAGAAGAGUGGAAAACUGUUUUAAGAAGCAGAGGGGGAGUGGAGAGAGACAUAUUCAAGGAAACAGAGGAAACACUGGAAAUAUUCAGAAGACUGAAGGAUAGAGAGUCACGUUAAGGAGAGAGAAGACAGAAGAAAAACGUGGCCAAGAAUGAGAGAGGAGGAGCAGUCUAAUGAUGACCACCAUGAGGGAGGGGUGCUUUCAAGAGAAGGACGGCCACCUUCUAAUGCCUGUCCCGUCGUUGUAGCAACACCGGGGGUCACCGGGCAUAAACGGCAGACAGGCUCACAUACUGUGGAUCAAAUUACCACAGUUACUCCUACAACAUCAGCAGAUGAUGGCAAGGUCAAGCCAGGGGACGAGAUCCAGAUCUACACCCCGGCAGGACCGAAAAGACUCAAGAGGAGUCCUCAACAUCGGCCGCCUUCCUCAGGCCCAUCCCUUUCUCCUGUCCCCGGUCCUAGUCCUGGAGAUCUCUCAGCCCUUGAGGACCCACAUGGCCAGCGGGUGAUCGCCAACAUCCGAGAGCGCCAACGGACACAAUCUCUGAACGAAGCCUUCGCCUCAUUGCGUAAAAUAAUCCCAACGCUCCCCUCUGACAAACUGAGCAAGAUCCAGACCCUUAAGUUGGCGUCACGCUACAUUGACUUUCUGUACCAGGUUCUGCAGAGCGAUGACAUGGACACUAAGCUCGCUGGAUGUAACUACCUGGCUCACGAGAGACUGAGCUAUGCCUUCUCUGUCUGGAGGAUGGAGGGGGCCUGGUCAACCAUGUCAGCUGGACACUAACCCAACCUAAAAGCAAGGUUUGUCUUUUGACUGUCGCCCUAAAAUGUAUGAUGAAUUCCACAUGACAGGGAAAUAUUUUUACUUGACAUGGAGGGCUGAGGACAGGUCACCAGUGGACUCUACACUAUUUAACACCUCAACUUAGAUCUUCUGUUUGCUGAUGAUGAUGAUGGAAAGACUAUAGUUUUAUGAGCAUGUGGACGGAGCUGAUUUUCUGUUGCUGUCAUGCAACAUUUCAGAUGUUACUAUGGACUCUUGUGAUUCUAUUGAUUUGCUUGCUAAAUGUAGAUGUUACUGUUCAUGUAUGCCAAUGAUAGCAUUCAAGAAAUGUAUCAUGACAGAGACAUUAUGCUUAGUGUAUGAUUCCUAGACAUUUGCACUCUGUCCAUGUGGAUCACAGUGCAGGACAUUACUCAAUAUUCAUUUAAUUCAACAACCUGGUGGUGAAGGAGACCCUGCUCUAAAUGUCUGACACAUCGGCUUCUUAUGUCCUGAAGCUUGACCUAUGAUUUUAUCCUCAUCAUCCUUGGUUUUAUCACCACAACUGCCAUCAGUAUCAUGACCGUCAUUACUACCAUCAUCAUCAUAGGUAUGCACACUUUGAGCCACGUUUAAGCCUUGUUACAUAUUUUGAUCUAGUUUUAUUUAAAGAGCUAGACAACUAGAGAAUGCAGAGGUGGGAUUAGAAGAAAAUCAGAACUGGAAAGACAAAAACUGAUGUCUUAAGAGAGAUUUGGACCUUUGACUUUUCCGUACCCUUUUUAAUUCCUACUUUUCCAAAACUCAAGACAUAUUAUGAAUCCCUGACCACCUCUGAACCCAAGCAACGGUGGAAAAAGUAGCCGCGGGCAGCCGUCAUCCUGACUUAAGUUUCUCCUCUCUAUACCCAAACCAAGCCCCUUUGUUUCUUCUAGUGCCAAAAAAAAAAACUCUGCUCUUGGAAUUCUUUCCUCUCAUUCUGGCCCAAAUUUGCUUGCGUUGCACGAAACCGUGAUGCAGCUAGAGCGAGCUGACGAGGAGGCAUAAUGAAAACAAACGGUUUCUAAAAGCCAUGAAUCAUGUGUGUCACCAUCAAAGGGGAGGCUGAUGUGGCUCCCUGCUGGGCUCCUAUAAACCACUGGAAGUGAUGGAGGAGCUGCUGAAUAAAGUGACUGUGAUCUUCCCUGCACACCUCUGCUCCAAACUACUAUUUCUACCACUCUGAUCACGUGGACUUUGAUACAAAUGGAAUUUAUUAGGUACCUCACUUUUGGAGAAAAGAACUUUCAGAAGACAUUUUGAUAAGGAUGCAGAGUGACAUGGGGAAAGAGGACUUUUCACUAAAACGACUAAACCAACAAAGAGCUGUCGUUUACCAAGGAGAACCUGACAAUACAGGUCAGCAUGGACCCGUGUCUGUGUUCAUAUUUUCUGUUUCAUCUUAUUUUACCUGCAGUUAAAGCUACACUUCCAUCUCACACAGCGAUUCAUGUGUCUGUACACAGUUUACCGACAGACGCUUUGGUUUUGUAGGAGCAUUUACUUGAAGUAUAUACAGUGUGGUCCUUUACAAAAGAAAUGAUUGACACUGAUACAAUAUAACUGGCAUCAAUAUCUGUCUUGUGAUAUAAAAAUGACAAGUGGAGAGAUCCCAGGACAUUUACAUGUAGCGAUACAUAUAGCACAUGUAUCAUUAUUUGUCUGAAAAAUAAAAACUGUCCUCAAACUAUUCACGAGAUUCUUGUUGGUUUGGGUAAAACU